rnacentral:rRNA from 1 species
AGCCUGAUGCAGCAACGCCGCGUGAGGGAUGAAGGCCUUCGGGUUGUAAACCGCUUUCACCUGGGAAGAAGCGAAAGUGACGGUACCUGGAGAAGAAGCACCGGCUAACUACGUGCCAGCAGCCGCGGUGAUACGUAGGGUGCCAGCGUUGUCCGGAAUUAUUGGGCGUAAAGAGCUUGUAGGCGGUUUGUUGCGUCUGAAGUGAAAAUUCAGGGCUUAACCCUGAACCUGCUUUCGAUACGGGCAGACUUGAGGAAUGUAGGGGAGAAUGGAAUUCCUGGUGGAGCGGUGAAAUGCGCAGAUAUCAGGAGGAACACCGGUGGCGAAGGCGGAUCUCUGGGCAUUUCCUGACGCUGAGAAGCGAAAGCGUGGGGAGCAAACAGGAUUAGAUACCCUGGUAGUCCAUGCCGUAAACGGUGGGUACUAGGUGUGGGGGACAUUCCACGAUUUCCGUGCCGCAGCUAACGCAUUAAGUACCCCGCCUGGGGAGUACGGCCGCAAGGCUAAAACUCAAA